rnacentral:miRNA from 1 species
GGCUCCAAGAAGCACAAGUUGGCGCUGGCCCCGGACCAGGCUGUUGUUGUUCUCAACGUGGUCCGCCAUGAAGCUAUAAAAAGCCGAGAGAAGCGCCCUCCCGCCAGAGCGCAGCGCGCACGCCCAGCGAG